UCCCUUGAAGAACACAAGGUUGAUAGGUCGGGGGUGUAAGCAUGGUAACAUGUUCAGCUGAUCGAUACUAAUAGAUCGAGGGCUUGACCAAAUAU
rnacentral:rRNA from 1 species